CAAACUACAGGUAUGAAGGUGCUUGCCUUCUAGAGGGCUGAUCCCUGCCCUUUGCCUCCACCCCCAAGCACUGCCAGGAGUGGCCUCUGGCAUAGAGCCAGCGUUUGUGUCAGAGCACUGCAGUAUGUAUCCCCAAACCCAAGAGCCGAAAAAGAAAAAAAAAUGAAAAAACUGAGGUGCAUGUUCCCAUGUGACCGAGUCCUAAACACAGUCAGCUUUGGAACCUGCUGCUGCAGAAUCCCUGUGUGCACCCUCAUGCAGCAAGCAGUAAGCAGUAAUCUGAGGAGGAUCAGAACCAGAGCCAUGACUGGAUAUGCUGUCAGCGUGAGACUGGCUCUGCUCCCGGAGAGGUCCUGGACCUCCCUGGGAAUUUCUGGAUCAGUCGGGCCCAUUCUGGGGCAGGGAGUCUCUAUGCCGGUGGUCCAGAACCCUGGUAGUGUAGCUGUCGUGAUGCAUGUUGUCACUUUGCCACCCUGGACCUUGGCUCUCCCUCCCUCCUUUGUUAUCAACAGAGAAAACAGUUCCCUCGUGUGGAAGGCUCCUCGGUGUCCCUGAACUAUUGAGCAAUUUUAGGAACUGCCACCAGCAAGCACCACUCUGUCUCAGGCAAUGCCACAAGGUGCUCGGACAGUGGUUUCCAGAUUGCCCUGAACAGCCUGGAAAAGUCAGGUGACGUGUGAACUUGCGAGUGUGCCAUGAGUUCUCUGAGAAAGUUAUUCUGAAAGAAAUGCACUAUGUUUGCCCGAUUCACUACAACUCCCACUUGAAGGAGCUUCACUCGAACUCCCACUGGCAAGAGCUUCCACUGGUUCCUCAGCACUGAUACCAAAUAAAUAAGUGAACAAAAGGAAAUGAACUUUAGGAUUUGGGUUUCUUUGCCUGUAUUCCUGAUACAUCACAGAUCACUACACGUGGGUCCGGGCCAGCAUGUGCAACUUCAUGGAAAGGAAUUCAGUGCAGACUUGAACAGACAGGGCGGAAGGGCAGGCUGACACAUAGCACCUAGCUACUGUUUGGGCCCCUGAGGCAGGACCGGCCUUCUGAUGAGCCCCUGAGCAAGUGGGAGACAGAGAUGCUGUCCACAGACUUGGAAGCAAAGUCUGUUGCCUACAGCAGGGGAUCCUGCGGGCUGCUGCCGCCCCUUCCAGCUCUGCAGAGGCCAUGCUCAGGGUCUGCCGCCCAGUUGGUGGCCAGGAACAGCUGUUGCGUGCCGAGCUGAUGGGAUUGGAACAACACUGGGUGACCACUGCACUGUUAGUUUAGAUUUCAGACAUGGACCUUUCCAUCACUGGAGGCAGCAAUGAUUAAGCCUACCACUCUGUGCCACCACAGUACCAGCUCACAUGUUCCUAGAUCGAGACCACUGUGGCAUGAAGGAAAACUCGGCUUUCUGCCAGUCUGCGUCUGUAGGUUGUCCCUGGGGCUCGGUGGCUGCAAAUGUCUACCUCUGAUGACAGAAGUGGCUUGUCCACAGAUCUCCUUGUGCAGUUUCAUUCUAAUCACGGGGUUUCAUCAGACAACUGGGGCUCGACUGAAGCUACUGGGCAGUUUGAAAGCAUUUAAUCUCCACCGUGUGAGUUAGUAAAGCAAAGAACAGAGAAGUUGGACAUUUUCUCAGAGUGCCACAGCAAAGAGAUGAGGAGAGACAGCACAUCGCAGGCUGGCUUCAGGACCUGACCCCAAACCACGUCACCGUCCCGUCACCUCCAUGAGUCUGUGUAGAACGUGAGAGACGUGGCAUUUCAGUGACAUGGAGCAGAUGGGAUCAGUCCCCAAGUCUGAGGAAGGGGCAUGUUGUUUCUCUUCACAAGUGCACCGGGGGCGCUCUGCCCCUCCUCCAGCUUGGCUGUUGGCACAGGUAUCUGAGGACAAAAGACACAGACAUAUCUGUGUCCUGAACUGAGCCUGUGAUCUGCCAAACGUGCCUACACGUUUCAGUGUGGUAGAGAAACAUGACAUGCACACGCUGUGUUGCUCGGUGCGGCUGCAAGAGAUCCUAAGGAGCUGCCUUCUGUUUCCCUGGUAACGAGCCUCAGCCCAGGCUUCAAACCUCUUGUCACAGGGACACACAAAGAGGGCUGAGGACUGCCCACCCCUCCUCCCUCCAGCCCAUCCAACCAGCCUCUGAGGCUCCCCUGUGUGCUCAGCCACCUGUGGGGUGAGAAGCAGAGCAGUAACCAAGACAACAGAACUCCAGCUGCCUCUCCUCCUGGGAGCCUCCUCCCUCCCCUCUGCCUGCCUGCCCUUCUGCUAAGCCAGGAAACCUUGUGCUUGGAAGCACAGCCUGAGGACCUGCAGCUGCUCUUCACAGAGCUGUCCGAUGCCCGAGUCAGAAGGGGGCUGAGGAAGAUUCGUGUCUGCUCCAAUGGUCUGUGACAAUUACCCGAACCACUGUAUUUUGUUAGAACCUCCGGUAUCAAUAUACACUACACAAAAUGCAUAUUAACAGCCCUCCGAUCUGAGCUUCUGGAAGAAAGCAGGUGCUGCAGACCUUCCCCAGGACUGAGAAGCCUCUGCCUGGAAUGUGGCUCAUCUUCCAGGCAAACUCACAGGCCUUGUCGAGACCUAGAGAACGUACUGUCACAAAAGCCACCUGGACAGAAAGAGAACUCGAACAGUACGAGUCUGAACUGAAGGGCUCCUCUCUAAGCAGCCCGAGAGGUUGCCUCAGAGGAGCCUAGAGAGCUGGGGGUGGGGGGCGUGACAGGCAACAGCCUUGAGAGGGGGCCUCACAAGAGCAAUGGAAUGAUAGGGCCUAAAGUCCUAGUGAAGUGAUGGAGUAGGAAUUAUCCAACAAGAUGCCCCCCUUUCACAUGUAAGGACAAGAGGAAUGUACCAGUGUCAGCUGAAUGGCAUGUGAGCAUGGGGCAGGUUUUCCUGUUUGUUGGGGGAGUUCCCACAACAUAGUGGGGGGGGGAUGGCGCUGGGCAGAGGACUCAAGUCUCUGAGAGCUGGGACAGGUAUUUGGGCGGGGAGGGGGAGCUGGGCAGGAGAGCUCAAGUCUCUUAGAGUGGGGAGGCAUGGCACCCUGACAGGGAGGGCUGAGAGCAGCCCGGGGGCCUGCAGGGUCCGCCAGACACAGGUAGGUUGGGACUGGGAAGCUCUAAGAAUUCCCACCCGAUUCCUUCUGUCUUCUCCAUGAACUGUCAGAGGAGAUCACUGCGGGCAAAGAGGCUGUGGCAAGGAGAGGGAGCGUCCUGGAAGAGGAUGAGAGGGAGAAGCAAUUCUCUCCUGCUUAGGGAUUUCCAAGGAAACAACUCACAGAGUCAGAAUGGUUCCUUCUCAGGGCUGGGGCGGAUCCCGAGCAGGAGCACACGGUGCUCAAUGCAUAACCAGGUGAGUGUCUGCCACCACGUUUCAGCUGCUGAGACAGAGGCACAGGACUAUGGCCUAGACUGGGGCAUCCUGGACUAGGGAGAAAGGACAAAAGGUGCCUUGGAGGGGGAGAGUUGAUGGUCUUUGGUAACCUGGGUAGCAGGAGCCUGGCUCAAAACUAGGAAGGUUUCGGCCUGGAGGCGGCCCGGGAGGGAAGCAGGGCUGGAGAGGGUUCAAGGGUUGCCGAGCCUAGGUUGAUGCUGGGCCUGCACUGGAGCCUCAGCAUGGCACGGGUUCCCCGGGAGCAACACCCCUCUGCACCCGCCCCUCCCCCAGCACACAGGGCAGGGAGUGGUGACCCCCAAAGCAGAAACAGAGAGAAGACAUUAGAUGCAUGUGCGGAUCAGAGAGCUCGCGCCUGGCAGGCCUAGGGCCCAGGCUUCCAUCCCCGGCCCGCAGGGUCUCAGGGGCAAGAGGGUCUCAGCAACAGUACUUGCCUCACUCCCACCCCGCUCAAUGUGGAAUCUGGGGCACUUGAGGGGGGCUGGGAGGGGAUCACAGAGGGCCGGGCUCCAAAGGGACAUACAUCACCGAGGGCUGGGAUUUCCCUGACGCCCAUCCAAGAGGUCCUAAUGUCUCCUCAGUGUAAGUCAUGCUGCUGUGGUCUGAGGGGACCCGAACUGUGGGUGCUGAGGGGCAGGAAGGCACCGUUCAGAGGGAUGUGGAGCCACCUCUGAGGGCUGGGAGCACCGUACCCUGGGGCUGCCUAGGACCACCUCUGCUUGGUCCUAGUCCUGUCCAACAGUUUAACAGGCUCUGUUUCCUGAGCAGAAGCACCCAGCAAAACCCAGAGCAGGGGCGGAGCGAUGGCACAGCGGGUGGAGCGUGUGCCUUGCACGCGGCAGAUUGGGGUUCGAUCCCCGCAUCCCAUAUGGUCCCCGGAACAGGCCAGGAGUCCUUCCUGAGUGCAGAGCCAGGAGUAACCCCUGAGCAACGCAGGGUGAGACCCAAAAGAAAAAAAAAAGAAGCCGGAGUAGCUCAGAGCAAGCACGCCCGCAGCCCUUUUCCCCGUCACCUGACUCCCAGCCCGGUUGCCAUGGUUCCGGGGGCGGUGCCUGAGAAGGCUUUGGAGCCCCGGAGGGUAGCAAAGGAACAUCUCGGCGGUCCCUUCGGAACUUUUUCUAGUGCUUUCCCGUUAGUUUCUGUGGGCGUCAUUCCAGAUCUUCAGACCUCAGCGAGGAAACUGGCUGAAUUUACGGCUUUUCCUUCAUGGAGGUUCUAUUUUGUCCUGCAGGUGGCAGUGUUGUCGCGUCAUCCCAAGCCCGCUCUUUCGCCCCUCCCUUCCUGCUUAAAAAAAAUCGCGGAAGGCAUUUUAUGAAAAAGAAAACCAAUUUUCUGUUGCAAUUUAGCCGUCUGACCAGCACUUCAUUUCCUGUUUGUUAUGAAGUACUUGUUUUCGCAUUUUUAAGGUCUGGGUUGGGCUUUAAUAAGAGAAAUUGCCUUUCCAUCUUUGGUAACAAGUUUUCAUUUAACUUAGUUUCUUAUAUAUUUAAUUUGUAAGGGGGAACAUUUUGUUUUGCCUUAAUAGACUUUUAAAUAUUGAUUUACCUAUUCACUAGUAUUCUGUGCAGUACUCUAAAAUUGUAUGGAAAAAUGGAGAAUAAAGUCGUAAAUAUAAUUAGUACAA